rnacentral:rRNA from 1 species
UACGGAGGGUGCAAGCGUUGUCCGGAAUCACUGGGCGUAAAGGGCGCGUAGGCGGCUCGGUAAGUAGGGGGUGAAAUCCUGCGGCUCAACCGCAGGGCUGCCUUCUAAACUGUCGAGCUCGAGCACGGUAGAGGCAGAUGGAAUUCCCGGUGUAGCGGUGGAAUGCGUAGAGAUCGGGAAGAACAUCAGUGGCGAAGGCGGUCUGCUGGGCCGUUGCUGACGCUGAGACGCGACGGCGUGGGGAGCAAACAGG